GGCCUCCGUUACACUCACUCCCAUAAACCUCACUACCAUCCGGGUCACGGCACCAAAUGUACCAAAUAGCUGGCCUCCGUUACACUUACCCCCAUAAACCUCACUACCAUCCGGGUCACGGCAUCAAAUGUACCAAAUAGCUGGCCUCCAUUACACUAAGAGCAAAUGGUAGCCAUACAGUUCACUUGGAGACUGUGAUAUCAUGAUCAUCUGAAUCUCACUGUCAAUAUUCACAAAAACUAAACUUGGCUCUUCUUAUUUAUUUAUGGCCCCUCCCCCCAGUUUAUCCCUUCACACCCUCAUUUUUCCUUCAGAGAACACAAAUACUCGCACGCUCACAGUAGAACCAUCCUUUUGUCAUUCACACUUACACGUACACAAUGUACAAGUAUACAUAAGAAGUUAGAUAACAGCUCAGGAACUCAUGAAAAGCUGAAGCACAUGCCCCUCAGAGCAAUGCUGACCCCUGAUUAGUCCUGCACAUGGCCAACUUUUUUUUUUUUUGCUAUGGAAAAUAAGACAGUAGUUGAAAUGGAUGAAAACAGGUGAAUCUCAUGAAACCUCAAGGACAACGCUGGGUCAUAUUUCACUCCAAAAUCAAAAGAAAUAUACAUUUUCAGCCAAUUAAGAUUUCAUCCAUUUUUUUUAUUGUAAAAUAAAUAAAUCCAACACUCACUUAAAGUCAAGAAUCAGAGCUACUGAAGUCACAGGAAUAACUGAUUUUUUUUAGCACUAGUAGGCCUGAAAUGCUACAUUUAGACAAUUUGUAUGGUCUUAGAAUCAAGUAUGUCAUUA